rnacentral:rRNA from 1 species
AUGAUACGCGAGGAACUAACCUGGGCUCGAACGUAAGAUGACUGUAGGUGAAAGCUUACAUCUCUUCGGAGCAUUUUACGAGGUGCUGCAUGGUUGUCGUCAGCUCGUGCCGUGAGGUGUCGGGUUAAGUCCCAUAACGAGCGCAACCCCUACCCUUUAGUUGCCAUCAGGUAAUGCUGGGGACUCUAAAGGAACUGCCUACGCAAGUAGUGAGGAAGGCGGGGAUGACGUCAAAUCAGCACGGCCCUUACGUCCAGGGCUACACACGCGCUACAAUGGCCGAUACAGAGGGCAGCUACCUGGUGACAGGAUGCAAAUCUCCAAAGUCGGUCUCAGUUCGGAUCGGAGUCUGCAACCCGACUCCGUGAAGUUGGAUUCGCUAGUAAUCGCGCAUCAGCCAUGGCGCGGUGAAUACGUUCCCGGGCCUU